UUUUAAUUUAUGUAUUUACAGUGGAAACACUAAACAAUGAUAAUGGCCUAUUAAUGAGGGAGAUGCCGAUUCAGCAGCGGAUGGCAGCGGCAACGGCAGUAGAAGCAGCGACAUCUACAAUGUCGGAUGUGAGUAUACUAUACAAAUAACCGAACCAAUCAGCACAUCGCUAGCGUCCCGUGGUGUUAUAUGCAGAUCGGCACUCUCCUGUUUGCCAUUAAGCUCUUCGGGUUCUACAACCUGCGGUAGUACUGUCAAUCGAAAAGCCACAGCUAUUACAGCGUUGCUGAAUCUACAUUCUUGGCUUCGGCCCAUACGGUUCAUCGACCGGUGCCGCUAAUUAUCUGGGACGCAUACUAGCAUAAAACGAUAGGAAAUUAUUAUUUUUGAGAACCGCAUACAUUACACCAAAUCGUUAAUACUUGAUGACAACGAACUCAUAUUCUUCGGCGAGGAGGGUAAAUCCGAAGUAUGUUUAGGCAGUGUAAUUUUCUAGUUCCAAUGCAUUUUCUGUUGUUGUGUUGCAUUUUAGCAUUAAGAGGGAAAUGACCAUAAAUGAGUUAACGCAGCUGUAAAGUGAAAUUCCUGAAAUGCAUUGCAGCUGAUGAUCGGCUAACCUGUU